AGCCCUGGACAGCGUCCAAGGGCAGGGGGGGCCUCCCAGGUGGGCCCCCUCUGGCUCUGCGUCCCUGGCAGCCUGACAUUCCUCUGUUGGAGCCCAUGGGAACCCCCACCUCUGGCCUGUAGGGGCUCUGGGCUGUGGUCACCCCAAAGUGUCAGAACACCACCAGGCACCCAGGAUGACCAUUGCGCUUUUGGGGAAACAGGCCUGUGGAGAUGGGGCUACACCCUGGUCCCUCAGCAACGCUGCUAUGUGCAGAGGCCAAUAGAGACCCAGGAGGGCUGCACUUGGCAUCACCGUGGCCCAGGCAGAGGGGACAGGCAGCUCCUGUCGUCACUGUGGGUCCGGCAGGAAGGUCCCUGCCAGCCCCCAAGCCUGUAGUUCCAUCGAAGUAGCUCGGCCUCUCGGCUCUGAGCCACCGCAGCCGCCAGGAAAACAGUCAGCCCUCCCAGGAGCAGGACUCGGGGCCGGGAGCUCCCAGGGCCGCCCCUCCUCUGCCUCCCGUCCAGGUUGAACACCGCCAUGCCGUAGCAAGCGGCGAGACGUAGACGUUGGAACCCGGGUUCCUCCACCCUAUGGAGAGGAGACGCGGGAUGCACGAGGCGUUGCCUGGCAACCCGCUGCCGGCAGGAGCCCCUGUGCCCACGCAGGCCCAGCCCGCCUCCACUCAGCACCUCCUGCUCAGGGCCCCCGCGGGCCAGGCCGAGGGGACUCAGUGCAGGCCCCCUCUCAAGACGGGCCAGGCCGGCUCCCUGUCUCCUGGGGUGGGCUUGGGCCCGAAGGCCCCUGUGGUGGAGCUGAAGAGGCCCUGGCCGAGUCCCCCUGGGCGGGUGGUGUCUGCUGCCGACUCUCCCACUCACAGAGUCCUGGUGUCCAGGGACACCUGCUCCCAAAAGACAGAAAGCCAGGGGCUCCCCACCAAGAGCCCUGGCCGCACUCCAUCCUGGGUGACCUCCUUCUGGAGCUCCGGCCUCUGCCAUCCUCAUGUGAGGAACUGAGGUCACCAGUGCAGCAGCAGGAGAGGAGAUGCCCGGCUCACUGGGGAACGGCCGCCCCACUGGGAGCCCGCACAGACGCCUCCCGCCCACACGGAUGCCUCCUGGAAAUGGGCAGUGCUCACCUUCCAAGGGGUUUCCUGGAAAGGCUGCACAAGGUCCGUGUCUCCGGAUCUGCUUCUGGGAGACCUGCCUGAUUCACGCAGGGACCCUCAGCCUUCCCGCACCUGUCUCCCUCCCUCUGCUCACCCCGCCUCCACAAGCAGGCUGCCGCCACCCAGACACCCGCAGCCUGUGUGUCCUCACCCUAGCAGCCAGCCCAGGGCCCGGCACCCACAUGACAUGCCUGUGGACCAGGAGCCUCACCCCAAUGCACCGCGCAGGAGUCCCCGUCUCAUCUGCCCCAGCUCUCCUCCAGGCUUCACACCCUGCCCAGCUCUGCUUGCACCCCUGGGAAACAGCUAGCCUGGCCCCCACCCCCCACUCCUUGCUGUCUGGGAGCUUGCCUCCACCUCAGAGAACAGUUUUAGCCACUCCCUUUGGCACUGGAUGACGUUUCCUGGGGGCGAGAGGCACAGCUCAUUUACAUGAAGCAAAUGGAUGGAGGCCCCUCAGGGACCCGAGCCCCUGUCCUCCAGGCUCGUAGCCAUCCUGAGGAGCCUCAGGGCCUGCAGUGGCCAUAGCCGUCCCUUCUGGCCUGAGCAUCCUCCCAAGGGAGACCUCAGUGUGGAGGCUGGGGACACCUUCACUUCCAAUGAGCCGGGGGCAGGCUUCUGUGACCCCCAGAGGCUGCCCAGGAGGCUGGAGGACAAAGACCAAGGGCGUGCUCUGAUGUCCAUGUGGUGAGGGCUGGGGACAGCUGUGGCCGAGGGAGCCAGAAGGUCGAGGACAAGGACUGCCUCAGGCCCCUGAGUCCCUCUCUUCUGAGGUCUGAGUGGUGGGUGGCCCCAUUCCCAGGUCACACGCCAGUGACCUUUGACCCACAAUUUACCUGUCACUCUGAUAAUGUUGCCCCCGCUCAAGGUCACCAGCUUCCCCGGGCCCACCUGCGGACCUGUCCCGCAGCCCCACACUGGGCAGGACCUGGGGAAGACAGCGGAUGGGGAGGGCAGAGGGCGCCUGGUGCAGGUCAGCUCCUCCCCAGAGGGCUUGGCCCUCUCUUGUGGUCUGCACCUAAAGCAUCCCCCAAGCUGGGCAAGGCUCCCCUAGGUCGGCCAGGGGCCAGAUGCAGUGGGGGUGGGGUCAGGGGUGAGCCACCCUCUUGCCCGCUCCGUGCCCACACAGCCAGUGUCCCCCUUCCCAGGCUGGGGCUGCCCUGGCUCCAGAGACCUCAGUAUUGAUCCGAAGACCAAGAUGGCCAUCCGGGCUGCCUGCCCAGCACCUCCUGGGAACCUGGGGCCAAGGUCCCGACAUGUGCCCAGCUCCAGGGAAGCUCUGGGAGCCCAAAUGUGCCCCUUGGGUCUUCCCCGGGCCUGGGUCAGCAGGCCUGCCUGAGCUCAGGGCUGCAAAGGAGCCUUCCCGGGGGCGAGGCACGCACGGGAAGCCCACCGGGCCUGCAGCACCCAGAUUCUACAGCAGAGAUCCCCAAACUCCCACGCCCCUCCCCCCACGCGUCCCCCUCCCUGCGCCCGCUCCUGGUCCCUCCUGCCGCUGUGCCAGCCUUGGCUCGCUCCUCCAUGGGCAGGAGCGACACUCAUCUUCCAGCGCAGAACCCCGGGUGUCUCUGGGUGCUGGGUCCCCGCCGUCCUUCCAGGCCUAGGGACAGUGUCUGGCAAGGAGCGGGCACAGUCCCGGGUGAGGGUCUGAGUGCCGGGACCCGCCUGUGUGCACCUGGCCAGACCUGGGGCCUCCCUUGGCCUUGCUGGGGCCCCGCUGGUCCGGAAACUUCCGAGCUCAGCCCAUGGACUGGAAGCUCGGGGAACGUGGUGCGUUCCGGUGGCUUCUGUGACUCACGCCACCCCGGGGGUGUGGAAUAGCAGCAGCAUCCUCUCUCCCCACCCUGAAGACCAGAGGUCCAACAGCCAGUGUAGCCAGGGCCCCUCCCUCCGGCGCCUCAGGGCAGGGUCCUUCCCGCCUCUUCCAGCUCCCAGGUUUCCCGGCUGUGAUCUCUGCUCUGAGGAUAAUCCCACCUGGAGGUCCUCGACGAGGCUACGUUUGCAGAUGCUUUUCCCGAGGGCAUUCCGUCCUCCCGCUCCCGCCUCCCCCUCAGGUGGAGGGAGUGAGGGCCUUGGAGGCCAGCCCCGGCCAGCAGAGAGGAGACCCCAUCCUGCGCCUCCCAGCCCGGCCCCCACCUCUGCUGUCGCUGCAGCUCCGAGGGCAGCCGCAUUGCAGGGACAGCAAACCCGACGCUGGUCCUCCCGAGCAGCACGUGCUCACAUUCGGGGGUCCACAGCCUGACCCUCCACAGCCCUGAUCACGCCCCGAGGGCCAGCCCAGGACAUCGGACAUGGGAGGCCUCAGGAAGCGUUGGGUCCACCUGGAAGGCAGCCACGGGUCUGGCCUGUGUGUAGGGCCGUCUGUCCAGUUCCCGGGGCCUGCAAGACAUCGUCAGGCCUGCUCACCGCUUCCUCCCUGCGGGCUGGCUGACACUCUGCAGAGCUGCUCCACCCAGCCCUGGGGGGCUCUGUGCCGGAAGCCACCCCCAGGGAGACCCAGAGCAAACACCACAGGGGCCCACGGUCAUGAGGGCCGUCCUGCCGGGAAGUUAGCAUGGACACAGGACAUCAGGGCUGCAGGGCCCCCAAAGGCUCCCUGACACCCACAGAGCCCACCCUGGCAGAGCCAGCCGCGCCGCACUGGGAGGAACUUGGGCAUCCUGGGCCUGGGGUGGGCGCUGCCUCCCCUCGGUGCACCGCAGAAGCCCUGCUCGGUGGGGUCUUCAUGGACCACUGAGGGCAGUGGGACCAGGCACCCGCCCACCCCACCCAGAUCUGCGUCCCUCUGGAAAUUCUAGGAGAACCACCCCCCCCCACUCUCCCCGCUGGCCAAAGACCAACCAUUCCCAGCUAUGAAAGGGAGGGUGGGAAGAGGCUGGUGGUCCGUCUUCUCGGGAGAAAGCGGUUAGGGAUGCUGUCUGAUGAGCUGGCCAAGGUCCAAGCUGCCUCAGAAAAAGCCCCAGCCUCUCCCACCGUCUCAGCUCCCAAUUCAGGGCCACACCCUCCCAGUUCACCCGUGCACUGUGAGCCAGCAGCUUUGGAAGAGCGAGCCCCACUGCCCACCUGUGCAUAUAGGAUGCAGCCUUCCCCUCCGAAAGGAAGCCAGGGAGGGCCUGCUGUAUACCUGGUAGGUGGGGCCUGGGUGUCCCGGCACUGGAGUCCCUGCCUCCCAAUUUCAGUGGCCGUCCCGCCGCUGCCCUGGCCGCCCCACCACUCCAUCAGCUCCUUCUGUUUAAAUAUUUAAUCCAGUUAAAUAUUAAACUUCUUCCAAGUCCCAAUUACAGCCGAUCCAUUCUCCACCACAGCUGUGCAAGCCAAGCUGGCGCUCUGUCUCCCACCCUGAGGGCGUUGGGUGGCAGACCGGGGGAUGGGGUGCCUGGAGGCGGGGGCUCUUGGUGUGGACCCAGUUAAGCUCCAUCCCCUGCCCUUUACCUGUGAGACCCCCACCCAGCACCGCAGCCCCACACAUAAACGGUGGGCAGGGCAGGGGAGCCAGGCGUCCCAGGCGUGGGUCCCCUCCAGUUCCCAAGGACUCCAUUGGCUGGAAACAUGCGAGAACCAUCCUCCGCAGCUCACACCACGGUCCGCCCUGUGCCCAGGGCCUGGGAUCACCCAAACCCAGGGUUCCUGUUUUCCCAGUCAGGGCCGGAGGGUCUCUGUGUCGUCCAGGCUGGAGUGCAGUGGCGUGAUCCCAGCUCACUGAAUGAAGCCUCCACCUGCUGGUUCCACUGAUCCUCCCACGUCAGCCACCCAAGGAGCUGGGCCCACGGGUGCUGGCCACCAUGCCCGGUUAUUAUUAUUAUUAUUGUUGUUGUUGUAGAGAUGGGAUCUUGCUUUGUUGCUCAGGCUGGUCUGGAACUCCUGGCUUGAAGCGACCCUCCCUCUUCCACCUCCCAAAGUGCUGGGGUGCCAGGUGUGAGCCCCUGCACCCAGCCUCUAAGAUAUUUUAAAUAGCCGGGCGCGGUGGCUCACGCCUGUAAUCCCAGCACUUUGGGAGGCUGAGGCGGGUGGAUCACGAGGUCAAGAGAUCGAGACCAUCCUGGUCAACAUGGUGAAACCCCGUCUCUACUAAAAAUACAAAAAAUUAGCUGGGCACGGUGGCGCGUGCCUGUAAUCCCAGCUACUCGGGAGGCUGAGGCAGGAGAAUUGCCUGAACCCAGGAGGCGGAGGUUUCGGUGAGCCGAGAUCGCGGCAUUGCACUCCAGCCUGGGUAACAAGAGCGAAACUCCGUCUCAAAAAAAAAAAAAGAUAUUUUAAAUAUAUUCAAAAGUACAGAAAACAACAGCACUAACUGUGUACCCCCUCUGAGCACCCCGACCCCACGGUGGGGCUGCUGAUGUGUUGAAAUCCACAGGGUGGAUGCCCCUGACUUGACCGGCCCCUUCCGCCGGCCGCCAUCCUCACUGUUCCCGUGGGAGAGCCGCGCACAGAGGAAUAAAUGUGUGCAUUUGUAGAUGGACAGCAGCGUAUUGUGAGUUUCACUGAUGUUAGCACAUGGUUUGCAAACACUGAUCGAAUACGGGAUGGGGUCUGCCCUAAGUCCCACGUGGCCGAUGGAUCCUGACGGGCGCCGUGGCUGCUUUCGCCCGACUCACGUGGCAGCGUGGCUGCUCCCCACCUGCUGAUUCCUCCCCAGUGAGAGUGUUAUCUGUAAAUCUGAUACUUGAUUCUCAGAUCAACCAGUACUCGCCCUGGGGCAAAUUAGAUUCAUUAAACUCAAGCUUCUUUCGGCUUCUACACUCCUUGUAA